GAGAGACACACCAUGACAGAGACACACACACAAUGACACAUACAGACACACACACCAUGACACAGACACACAUACAGUCACACUGACAGACACACAUAUAGUCACACUGACAGGCACACACACACCAUGACAGACAGAGAUACACACAAUGACAGACACACACAAUUACACAGACAGACACACACACCAUGACACAGACAUACACACCAUGACACAGACAUACACACCAUGACAGACAGAGACACACACACAAUGACACAGACAGACACACACACAAUGACACAGACAUACACACCAUGAC